rnacentral:rRNA from 1 species
UACGAAGGGGGCUAGCGUUGUUCGGAAUUACUGGGCGUAAAGCGUGCGCAGGCGGUUUUGUAAGAUCCGUGUCGUGGAAAUCCCCGGGCUCAACCUGGGAAUUGCGAUGGAGACUGCAAGGCUGAGAAUCUGGCAGAGGGGGGUAGAAUUCCACGUGUAGCAGUGAAAUGCGUAGAGAGUGUGGAGGCAACGACCGAAUGGCGAAG